rnacentral:rRNA from 1 species
GCAUAUCAAUAAGCGGAGGAAAAGAAACUAACAAGGAUUCCCCUAGUAACUGCGAGUGAAGCGGGAAAAGCUCAAAUUUAAAAUCUGGCGGUCUUUGGCCGUCCGAGUUGUAGUCUGGAGAAGCGUCUUCCGCGUUGGACCGUGUACAAGUCUCUUGGAACAGAGCGUCAUAGAGGGUGAGAAUCCCGUCUUUGACACGGACUACCAAUGCUUUGUGAUGCGCUCUCAAAGAGUCGCGUUGUUUGGGAAUGCAGCGCAAAAUGGGAGGUGAAUUCCUUCUAAAGCUAAAUAUUGGCGAGAGACCGAUAGCGAACAAGUACCGUGAGGGAAAGAUGAAAAGCACUUUGGAAAGAGAGUUAAACAGUACGUGAAAUUGCUAAAAGGGAAACGCUUGAAGUCAGUCGCGUCGUCCGGAACUCAGCUUUGCUUCGGCUUAGUGCACUUUCCGGUUGACGGGCCAGCAUCGAUUUUGACCGCUGGAAAAGGGCUGGAGGAAUGUGGCACCUUCGGGUGUGUUAUAGCCUUCAGUCGCAUACAGCGGUUGGGAUCGAGGAACGCAGCGCGCCUUAUGGCUGGGGUUCGCCCACAUUCGCGCUUAGGAUGCUGGCAUAAUGGCUUUAAACGACCCGUCUUGAAACACGGACCAAGGAGUCUAACAUGCCUGCGAGUGUUUGGGUGGAAAACCCGAGCGCGUAAUGAAAGUGAAAGUUGAGACCUCUGUCGUGGAGGGCAUCGACGCCCGGACCUGACGUUUUCUGAAGGAUCCGCGGUAGAGCAUGUAUGUUGGGACCCGAAAGAUGGUGAACUAUGCCUGAAUAGGGUGAAGCCAGAGGAAACUCUGGUGGAGGCUCGUAGCGAUUCUGACGUGCAAAUCGAUCGUCAAAUUUGGGUAUAGGGGCGAAAGACUAAUCGAACCAUCUAGUAGCUGGUUCCUGCCG